CUGAAGGCUGAGACGUGAUGCCGAGCCGAUUCAGGUGAAGUCAGUGAUCCUAUGCUGCCGAGAAAAGCCUCUAGCGAGUUCUUAGCGGCCCGUACCCCAAACCGACACAGGUGGUCAGGUAGAGAAUACCAAGGCGACGGGCGAACUGUGGUUAAGGAACUCGGCAAAUUACCCCCGUAACUUCGGGAGAAGGGGGGCCGGACACGUGAAGCAACACGCUUGUGGAGCGUGGUAUGGCCGCAGAGACCAGGGGGAAGCGACUGUUUACUAAAAACACAGGUCCAUGCGAAGAAGUAAUUCGAUGUAUAUGGACUGACGCCUGCCCGGUGCUGGAACGUUAAGGGGACCUGUUAGCUCUUCGGGGCGAAGCGGAGAACUUAAGCGCCAGUAAACGGCGGUGGUAACUAUAACCAUCCUAAGGUAGCGAAAUUCCUUGUCGGGUAAGUUCCGACCUGCACGAAUGGCGUAACGACUUCCCUACUGUCUCAACCACAGGCCCGGCGAAAUUGCAGUACGAGUAAAGAUGCUCGUUACGCGCGGCAGGACGGAAAGACCCCGGGACCUUUACUAUAGCUUGACAUUGGUAUCUGAGUUAAUUUGUGUAGGAUAGGUGGGAGCCUGUGAAGCUCGUACGCCAGUACGGGUGGAGGCAAUCUUGAAAUACCACUCUGGUUGAUUCGGGUAUCUAACUUCGGACCGUGAUCCGGUUCAGGGACAGUGUCUGGUGGGUAGUUUAACUGGGGCGGUUGCCUCCUAAAGAGUAACGGAGGCGCCCAAAGGUUCCCUCAGCCUGGUUGGCAAUCAGGUGUUGAGUGUAAGUGCACAAGGGAGCUUGACUGUGAGACUGACAGGUCGAGCAGGGACGAGAGUCGGGACUAGUGAUCCGGCACCGGCAUGUGGAAGCGGUGUCGCUCAACGGAUAAAAGGUACCCCGGGGAUAACAGGCUGAUCUUCCCCAAGAGUCCAUAUCGACGGGAUGGUUUGGCACCUCGAUGUCGGCUCGUCGCAUCCUGGGGCUGUAGCAGGUCCCAAGGGUUGGGCUGUUCGCCCAUUAAAGCGGUACGCGAGCUGGGUUUAGAACGUCGUGAGACAGUUCGGUCCCUAUCCGCCGUGCGCGUAGGAUACUUGAGAAGGGCUGUCCCUAGUACGAGAGGACCGGGACGGACGAACCUCUGGUGUGCCAGUUGUCCCGCCAGGGGCACGGCUGGUUAGCUACGUUCGGAAGGGAUAACCGCUGAAAGCAUCUAAGCGGGAAGCUCGCUUCAAGAUGAGGUAUCCCACCC
rnacentral:rRNA from 1 species